rnacentral:rRNA from 1 species
UACAGAGGUGGCAAGCGUUGUUCGGAAUUACUGGGCGUAAAGGGCGCGUAGGCGGCCUUCUAAGUCAGACGUGAAAUCCCCCGGCUUAACCUGGGAACUGCGUCUGAUACUGGGAGGCUAGAGUAUGGGAGAGGGAUGUAGAAUUCCAGGUGUAGCGGUGAAAUGCGCAGAUAUCAGGAGGAACACCGGUGGCGAAGGCGGGUCUCUGGGCAGUAACUGACGCUGAGGAGCGAAAGCGUGGGGAGCGAACAGG